rnacentral:rRNA from 1 species
AUACGAAGGGUGCAAGCGUUACUCGGAAUUACUGGGCGUAAAGCGUGCGUAGGUGGUUGUUUAAGUCUGUCGUGAAAGCCCUGGGCUCAACCUGGGAAUGGCGAUGGAAACUGGGCGACUAGAGUGUGGCAGAGGGUAGUGGAUUUCCUGGUGUAGCAGUGAAAUGCGUAGAGAUCAGGAGGAACAUCCGUGGCGAAGGCGACUGCCUGGGCCAACACUGACACUGAGGCACGAAAGCGUGGGGAGCAAACAGGAUUAGAUACCCUGGUAGUCCACGCCCUAAACGAUGCGAACUGGAUGUUGGGUGCAAUUUGGCACGCAGUAUCGAAGCUAACGCGUUAAGUUCGCCGCCUGGGGAGUACGGUCGCAAGACUGAAACUCAAAUGAAUCGACGGGG